rnacentral:rRNA from 1 species
AUUGAACGCUGGCGGCAUGCCUUACACAUGCAAGUCGUACGAGAAAGGGUCCUUCGGGACCUGAGUAAAGUGGCGCACGGGUGAGUAACGCGUGGAUAAUCUGCCCUUCAGUUGGGAAUAACUCAUCGAAAGGUGGGCUAAUACCGAAUAACGCUGUGAGACCUUGGUCGAUCAGCCAAAGAGAGCCUCUGCUUGCAUGCCCUCGCUGAAGGAUGAGUCCGCGUACCAUUAGCUUGUUGGUAGGGUAAUGGCCUACCAAGGCGACGAUGGUUAGCUGGUCUGAGAGGAUGAUCAGCCACACUGGAACUGAGAUACGGUCCAGACUCCUACGGGAGGCAG